rnacentral:rRNA from 1 species
GAUGAACGCUGGCGGCGUGCCUAAUACAUGCAAGUCGAGCGAACAGACGAGGAGCUUGCUCCUCUGACGUUAGCGGCGGACGGGUGAGUAACACGUGGAUAACCUACCUAUAAGACUGGGAUAACUUCGGGAAACCGGAGCUAAUACCGGAUAAUAUAUUGAACCGCAUGGUUCAAUAGUGAAAGACGGUUUUGCUGUCACUUAUAGAUGGAUCCGCGCCGCAUUAGCUAGUUGGUAAGGUAACGGCUUACCAAGGCAACGAUGCGUAGCCGACCUGAGAGGGGGGGCGGCCACACUGGAACGGGAACGGGGCCCGGACCCAGAGGGGAGGAACAAGUGGGGAUUCUUCGAGAAGGGGCGAAGGUCGGACGGAGCAACGCCGGGGGGGGAAGAAAGGUUUUGGUAUCUAAAACCUUUUUUAUGGGGAAAAAAAAAAUGGUAAAGAAAAUAUCCCCGUCUGGAGGGUCCCUAACAAGAAACCCAGGCCAACUUCCGUC